AAAGAAGAUUCAGAGACCAAGAGAGGAGCUCACAGAUAUACCAGGAUGAGUCUGGGUUAGCUGCGUCAUAGGGAAACUUGUGAUUACAUUGAGUCCACCUGGAUACAUCAGGACACUCUCCCCGUCUCAAGAUUUCGCUGAUGAUACUGACUGGGGG